UAACCAUUUUUUAUGGUUAUCAUUUUGAAAGUUUUCAAAUGUUUGAUUUGCUGUUCUAUGGAUGCAGAGAACACUAAUACAUCAUCAAUGUAUGUAAUAAUAAAUUGAGAAAAUGGAUUGAAUAUUUCAUUCAUUAUACUUUGAAAUUCUGAUGGAGCAUUUUUUAAUCCAAAGGGCAUUACAUUCCAUUCGUAAUGUCUAAAUGGUACUGUAAAAGCUGUUUUAUAUAUGUCAGUUUUAUCUAUUUGAAUCUGCCAAUAUCCUGAUUUUAAAUCAAAUUUUGAAAAUAUUAGUGCUUGACUCAGCCUAUUCAAUAAGUCUUUCUUAUUGGGUAAUGGAUAUCUUAUCCAUUUUAACACCUUAUUUAAGGGUUUAUAAUUAAUAACUAAUCUAGGUACUCCUCUUUCUUUUUUUGCAUUUUUAUUCGCAUAAAAUGCAGUACAACUUCAUGGAAAUUGAGACUUUCUAAUUAGUCCUCUAUUUAGGAGUGUAUCUAUUUCUUUUUUGCAUAAAUUAAGAUAUUCUUGAUUCAUUUGUGUAGGUCUGGUUUUUGUUGGAACGUUCCUUUCAUUAAAGGAAUCUUCAUAUGGCAAGGAUACAAUAUGUUUUUUCCUUGUCCAAAAUGCAUUAGAAUUUGCUGGUGACAUCUACCCUCACCAUGUGCACCGACCCAUACCCCACUGAAGUGGUCCAGAAACCAGAUGAACCUGAUAAGGCAAGUGAGGUGCCCUGCGGUCAAACUGAUCCAGUCCCAAAUGGAGUUGAAACUGUGGCAGGUGAUGGCGAUGAAGAAAUGACUGAUGCAGAGGCUGAUGAAAAUACCCCAAACACUGAUACUGAGAUGCAAGAAGAAAAGGUUACUGAAACAUCUGAUAGUGAUUCCGAGCUUAGAUCUGAUGCCAAUCCUUCCCAGGAGCUUUGUACAACAAGUGAAGAGCAAAAUCCUUGAAUUUCAGAGGCGCCAUGAGGGAAAUGGAUUGGAUUUAGCUUGCUGGAGGGCGAAUGAAAUGAAAAUAUUCUGUUCCCACUGUUUUAGUUGAAGAUAUUAAGAGUACUCUGUUUGGUUUGCAUGCCCCUAACAAGGGAAGAUAUCAUAUAUCUGUAGAACCUAAGCAACUGCUCAGCCAGUUUUGAAUUAUAGUUUUGCUAUACAGAACAAUUUAUUGUAAGGAUAGUAUGAUUCAAAUGGCACUAGACAUUGUUUCAAACUGUGAACAUUUUGAGGAUACCAACUGGCUCAGUUGUUAAAGCCACUGGGUGUUUAAUACAAGUGACGUGGGUCA